rnacentral:rRNA from 1 species
AGAGUUUGAUCAUGGCUCAGAUUGGACGCUGGCGGCAGGCUUAACACAUGCAAGUCGAGCGGUAACAGGGGGAGCUUGCUUCCCGCUGACGAGCGGCGGACGGGUGAGUAAUGCUUAGGAAUCUGCCCAGUAGUGGGGGAUAGCCCGGGGAAACCCGGAUUAAUACCGCAUACGUCCUACGGGAGAAAGCAGGGGAUCUUCGGACCUUGCGCUAUUGGAUGAGCCUAAGUCGGAUUAGCUAGUUGGUGGGGUAAAGGCCUACCAAGGCGACGAUCCGUAGCUGGUCUGAGAGGAUGAUCAGCCACAUCGGGACUGAGACACGGCCCGAACUCCUACGGGAGGCAGCAGUGGGGAAUAUUGGACAAUGGGGGCAACCCUGAUCCAGCCAUGCCGCGUGUGUGAAGAAGGCUUUCGGGUUGUAAAGCACUUUCAGUAGGGAGGAAAACCUUAUGGCUAAUACCCAUGAGGCUUGACGUUACCUACAGAAGAAGCACCGGCUAACUCCGUGCCAGCAGCCGCGGUAAUACGGAGGGUGCAAGCGUUAAUCGGAAUUACUGGGCGUAAAGCGCGCGUAGGUGGUUUGGUAAGCGAGAUGUGAAAGCCCCGGGCUUAACCUGGGAACGGCAUUUCGAACUGUCAGACUAGAGUGUGGUAGAGGGUAGUGGAAUUUCCUGUGUAGCGGUGAAAUGCGUAGAUAUAGGAAGGAACACCAGUGGCGAAGGCGGCUACCUGGACCAACACUGACACUGAGGUGCGAAAGCGUG